rnacentral:rRNA from 1 species
GAGUUUGAUCAUGGCUCAGAAUGAACGCUGGCGGCGUGCCUAAUACAUGCAAGUCGUGCGGCAGCAUGCCCUUCGGGGUGAUGGCGAGCGGCGGACGGCUGAGUAACGCGUAGGAAUCUACCCCAAAGUGAGGGAUAACUCCGGGAAACCGGAGCUAAUACCGCAUAUGGUCUUCGGAUUAAAGCUUCGGCGCUUUGGGAAGAGCCUGCGUUCGAUUAGCUUGUUGGUGAGGUAAUGGCUCACCAAGGCGACGAUCGAUAGCUGGUCUGAGAGGAUGACCAGCCAGACUGGAACUGAGACACGGUCCAGACUCCUACGGGAGGCAGCAGUAAGGAAUAUUACACAAUGGGGGAAACCCUGAUGUAGCAACGCCGCGUGCAGGAUGAAGGCCUUCGGUCGUAAACUGC